rnacentral:rRNA from 1 species
UUUAACUGAGCGUUCAGUUACUUGACGUAGACCCGAAACCGGGCGACCUACCCAUGAGCAGGAUGAAGCGAAAGUAAAAUUUCGUGGAGGUCCGAACCCACGAGCGUUGAAAAGCUCGGGGAUGACUUGUGGGUAGCGGUGAAAUUCCAAUCGAGCCCGGAGAUAGCUGGUUCUCCCCGAAAUAGCUUUAGGGCUAGCCUCAAGGUGAGAGAUACGGAGGUAGAGCACUGAAUGUCCUAGGGGGUAUUGCACCUACCGAAGACUAUCAAACUCCGAAUGCCGUCAUCUUAUACUUGGGAGUCAGACUGUGGGUGAUAAGAUUCAUAGUCGAAAGGGCAACAGCCCAGAUCGUCAGCUAAGGUCCCUAAAUGUAAGUUAAGUGGUAAAGGAUGUGGGAUUGCACAGACAACCAGGAUGUUGGCUUAGAAGCAGCCACUCAUUCAAAGAGUGCGUAAUAGCUCACUGGUCGAGUGAUCCUGCGCCGAAGAUUUCCGGGGCUAAAACUUACUACCGAAGCUACGGCAUCAGUAAUGAUGGGUAGGGGAGCUUCCCAUACGGGUUGAAGCAUGACCGUAA